CUACGGGGGGCUGCAGUGGGGAAUAUUGCACAAUGGGGGAAACCCUGAUGCAGCAACGCCGCGUGGAGGAUGACGCAUUUCGGUGUGUAAACUCCUUUUAUAUAGGAAGAUAAUGACGGUACUAUAUGAAUAAGCACCGGCUAACUCCGUGCCAGCAGCCGCGGUAAUACGGAGGGUGCAAGCGUUACUCGGAAUCACUGGGCGUAAAGCGCGCGCAGGCGGUUUGAUAAGUUGGAUGUGAAAGCCUACGGCUCAACCGUAGAACUGCAUCCAAAACUGUCAAACUAGAGUAUGGGAGGGGAAGAUGGAAUUAGUUGUGUAGGGGUAACAUCCGUAGAGAUAACUAGGAAUACCAAAAGCGAAGGCGAUCUUCUGGAACAGUACUGACGCUGAGGCGCGAAAGCGUGGGGAGCAAACAGGAUUAGAUACCCGUGUAGUC
rnacentral:rRNA from 1 species